rnacentral:lncRNA from 1 species
UCUGUCCAGGCUCAGUGGGUCACUGCUGGCUGGGAGGAAACGUGGCCUUAGAUGUUGCCCACUUGGCAGUUUCCACCAUUGUUGACUCACUUAGGCUGAUGGCAGCUGCCUCUGCUGGGAAGGAAGCAUUUUUCCCACAACAUAUUAAAUGCAGCACUAGAGGGUGGCUGGCUGGUCCAGGGGCCAGAUCUGGCUCUGCUGCUCACAGUGAUUCUGUUGGGCAAGCGUUUUUAAAAAGCCUUGGCUUGGGAGGGAAUAACGCGUUCCAGUCUCCCGCAAGUGCCGUAAUUUGUUGGCCACCUGCACCUGUCUUGCUACACAUUUCUUUCCCAGUGGGAAUACUGCGUAUGCCUUCGAGAAGCCACCAUCCCUGGCAGCUGAAGGAGAGCAGGAAGCUGCGUGUGCCUGUGAAGUCUGUGCUCCUUUGUUCUCCUGCUUGGCUACUCUAUUCGUCACCUUUCCAACUCUUCUGGCUACGGUGGGUGCCGUGGUUUUCACCUUCAGUCAACUGUUUUCCAUUCUUUAACAAUUCAAUUUAUGCAUCUUUUACGGCAUGUUUUUGUUUUGCUUUGAUCCCUUCUGGAGAAGGUGGAUGUGGAAGAUAUGGGAGAAAGUGUUUAAGAAAAAAUAAUCCAAAUGAUAGGUGUGAACGUCAUCAAAAUACAGCUUCCUCAAAACAAUGUGCUUCUCUCACUUGGAGACAUUAG